rnacentral:tRNA from 1 species
GUCACUCUAUUUUAAAUUAGAAUAGCUAACUUGUAAUUAGCAGGAUUUCUGACAUU